rfam:Bacillus amyloliquefaciens FZB42, complete genome.
AAUAGUUACUGGGGGUGCCCGUCUGAGCGGGCUGAGAGAGAAGCGGCGGCUUCUUAACCCUUUGGACCUGAUCUGGUUCGUACCAGCGUGGGGAAGUAAAGGUUUUAUUAU